UUGCUUUCUUUUUUUUUUUUUUCAAGUGACUUAUUGCUUUCUUCCUUGUUUAUUUUCAUACAGAUGCAUCUGUUUACAAAAAAAAUAACCUUCAAAUGGCGAUUAAAGAAACCAAUCGGCAUCCCAAGAUGGCUUAAAUGGAAUGAAAACAGAUGAAAUAGAUUUGAAUCUGAGGCAUGUACAGUCGGAUAUUGGACUUUCACUUGGAUCAACCAAGUCCAUCUCCACGACUGAGCUCAUCAAGGUACACACUUCUUCUUGGAAGUGGAAGACAUGCUAGCUAUUAUUCGCAGAAAAGAACGUUGAUUUUUUUGAGGUCUAGAAUAUAGUAUAUAUAAUAUUGAAGGCCGAUAUAAUAGAAUAUUCCCAUUUUAAACAGUUAGAGAAUAUUUUGCGAUAAAUACAUAUCUUGAAUAUCAAGUUAGUUUAAGUUACGGAAAUAGAGAUAUCGUGGAUUGGCAUA